AGGAUUAGGGUUAACUUGUUGUGACUAUUGAAGUCUUUGGAAUUCAGGCUUCUUCUUCCUCUUCCACGCCGCCGCGGCUCUUUUUCUCCGACGAGAAUUUCGUCGUUCACCACCACCUCACAAACAAAUGUAGCCGUCUCCACUCGAACCUCUCUCUCUCUGUCUCUUAUCUCUCACUCUCAAACUCUCUCCGACUCGCACCUCUCGUUUGAUACGCUAAUCGUCGAAGUUGUUGCACGCUGAGCGAUGAUGAUGCCGUGAGCGAAGCUGCAGAUGCGCUUCUGAGUUGAUGUUGAACACCGUUGUUGUUGCAAGUAGUGAUGGAGAAUCGAAGCUGAUGUGAAGAUCUUAGAUUGAUGGAGGUUGUAGCGGUCGAGAGCGUGAGCAGGGAGAAGUUCUUGUGAACGUUGAAGAUUGAUGAUGUUCUUGCUGCGUUCUUGAAUAUGGAUGAAGAACGUGAGGGAGAUUGUUGCGUUGUGGUUGAAUUUGACGAGGCAGCUCUUGGAGGUUGAAGUUCGAGAGAUUGAUUGGUGAUUUUCUGUGUUUGUGAUUAGAGAUUCAGAGCGAUGAAGGUUGUGGAUUACUGAUGAUUGAAAGAUGAAGAAUGUUGAUUCAAGAGUUUGUUAUAGGUUGAACUUUUCUGUUAUCGAUUUUCUGGUUUUCUUAUUUACAGAUUGAAGAAGGUUUUAAGGAAAAUUGAAGAAUCGUGUUAAUGGUGAAUGAAGAUUGGAGAAGGUUCAAGAUUCGGUUAGAGGUUGAUGAAGAUGAGUUGAGAGGAUGAAGAUGAUUAUGCUGUGGAUUCAGUGAUGGUUCAAGGUUGAACGUUGAAGAUGAUGAAGAAAGUGAAAUCGAGGGAGAAGAUUUGGAGAUUCUGUUAUGAGAAGUUUGUUACAGGAUUUCACAUGAGGUUUAUCUGCAGGAUGCAGAUUGUGCUUGAAUAUCUUCAACUUUAACACUGGUACCACGAGCAUGUUUUGGAUGGGGCAGGUUAAUAGAAUCCAUGGCACAAACACAAGUCCUCUUGAAAUUGCUUGGUCACGAUUGAAGCUAGCAUAAAUGGUGUACACAGACAUUUGACAUGUAGAACAAGAAUAGGCUUUGGAUAGUUUGAAUUUUGAAUAGAAUGUAUAUAUUUCCUUUGAUGGUCAAUGAUGUAAUGGUGAUAUAACUUGACUUGAAGUUGUAAUAA